GGUGGGCCCCCCAGCUCGCGCCCCGCGCUGCCUCCUCGGUUCUCCCGCCUCCGCUCCAUCUUGGCUCCGGCCGCUCUGCUUCUUGGUCACUUUCCAGGCGCCGGGGCCGCGGCAGCCGGGACCCAGCCUGCUAGGAUGAUCAUGCAGAUCUAUCUGAUACAGGGAGAAAUUCAGCAACUUCACCCAGAUUCAGUUUUCCCCACAAGGCUGCAUCUGAAAGACCAAAGAGGAAAGAAGUGACACCAGUCAUUUCUCCUGCAAGAAAAUAAUGAGAAGAACGACAUUUGGCCCAUUCUUGCCUUGCUAGUGUGCCAGUGUGUGUGUGCACCAUGUGCCAGAUUCUGUGCUAGAUGCCAGGAGUAAACUGUAUAAUACAACACACAUGGCUCUCUGGCAUCAUGGUACACAUAGUCUCUGAUCUUUGAAUCAUACCAUCUCUCAUACAUUAUUUGAUUUGAUCCUUUUAACAACUUUGAAAUAGCCAAGAUUUCUAUUUACAUUUCAUGCAUAAUGAAGUUAAGCUUAGAGAAGUUCAAGUGAUUUACUGAAGAUCAGCUGAUAAAUUUUGCGAUCAGGAUGGUCACCCUAAUUUUCUACAUUCUAAGACAGUGGCCUUCCUGCUACUUCAUGCUACUUCCCCGAGAUCCGAGCUUCAAAGAUUAUAUCUAAGUUGCUCUUUGAAAUAGCAGCUUGGCUAAUUGUAUUAUUCACGUUUUUGUUAGUUCUUACCUUACUCAAUAAUCUUCCCUUGCAUUAGCAGAUAUUAUUGAUCAUCAUAAAUGGACUUUAUCUAAGCAAUUUGUGAUCCCAUGAUAUUUAUUCCAAUAAAUGAUUCCUAGCUCUUAAUACAGAAUAAAUUAUUUUUAUAACACACAAUUAUUAGAAUGCUCUCCAUGUUUUGUGACACCUCCCCCAAAGAAAACAGCUAGAAAUGCAGAGUAGUUGAUGUACAGCUGUUAAAGGAAGAUAUUAGAAAGCUUUAGUUCCAGUAGACUUGGACAAAUAAUAAAUGAAAGUAAUUUUGAAAACUAAAAGGAAGUGACAUCAAGAAAGGCAGCAGAGUGGAAAGAACACUGGACUGAGAAUCAAGAGACAGAAGAUUUGGUCUUGGUUCAGCCAACUUUGGGACAUUCAGUUCUUUUUUCCAGGCCUUCAUUUCCUUAAUCACAGAAUUGAAUUUCAGGCACCUGCUGUAUUCUACAUACAUAAUUCUAAAUCUGAGUUAAGUGGACAGAGAUCCUGGAGAGUGACAUUGGGGAGACUAUAGGAGGCA
rnacentral:lncRNA from 1 species